rnacentral:rRNA from 1 species
AAGUCGAGCGCACUUCUUUAGAGUGAGCGGCAACGGGUGAGUAACGCGUGGGAAUCUAUCCAUCUCUACGGAAUAACACAGAGAAAUUUGUGCUAAUACCGUAUACGUCCUAUUGGAGAAAGAUUUAUCGGAGAUGGAUGAGCCCGCGUUGGAUUAGCUAGUUGGUGAGGUAACGGCUCACCAAGGCGACGAUCCAUAGCUGGUCUGAGAGGAUGAUCAGCCACACUGGGACCGAGACACGGCCCAG